GACGAACGCUGGCGGCGUGCUUAACACAUGCAAGUCGAACGGAAAGGCCCUGCUUGCGGGGUACUCUAGUGGCGAACGGGUGAGUAACACGUGGGUGUUCUGCCCUGCACUUCGGGAUAAGCCUGGGGAACUGGGUCUAAUAUCGGAUAGGGGCCCUUUUUAGUGUGAUGGUUGGAAAGUUUUUUUGGUGUAGGAUGGGCUCGCGGCCUGUCAGCUUGUUGGUUGGGUAAUGGCCUACCAAGGCGGCGCCGGGUAGCCGGCCUGGGUGGGUGGACGGGCACAGUGGGACUGGGAUACGGGCCAGACUCCUACGGGAAGGAGCAGUGGGGGAUAUUGCACAAAGGGCGCGAGCCUGAUGCAGCGACGCCGCGGGGGGGAUGACGGCCUUCGGGUUGGAAACUCCUUUCGCCAGGGACGGAGCUGUUAGUGACGGUACCUAGAUAAGAAGCACCGGCUAACUACGUG
rnacentral:rRNA from 1 species